rnacentral:lncRNA from 1 species
AAGCAACCCAGAGCCCUCCUCCCGCCUGCUCUGUGUAGGAGACAGCCUGCGGAGCCCACUGCCGGCGCGCAGAGAGCCCAGCAGCUCUUGAGUCCAGGAAGCAAGGGUGGGAGGAGGGACGAGCCAGUGGCAAUGACCCAGACCCGGACGACCCCCAUUGCUGAGCCAGCGGAGCUGCUUGAUCCAAAGUCCACAAAUAUAUCAUAAAUCUGAAGAGGAACUGGGAGAAGCUUCUGCUGGCAGCUCAUGCCAUUGUUGCCAUUGAAAACCCUGCUGAUGUGUCAUAUCCUGCAGGAAUACUAGCUAGUGGGCUGUGCUGAAGUUUGCUGCUGCUGCUGGAGCCACAUGUAUUGCUGGUCACUUCACUUCUGGAACCUUUGCUAACCAGAUCCAAUCAUCUUCUGCCACCCACAUCUUCUGGUGGUUACUGAUUCUAGGGCUAACUAUCAGCCUCUCUCAGGGGCUUCUUAUGGUAACCUACCUACCUACCACUGCUGUAUGUAACAGAUUCUCCUCUGAGCUAUGUGGAUAUUGUCAUCCCAUGCAACAACAAGGAAGCUCAAUCACUGAGUCUAAUGUAGUGGAUGCUGGCCCAGGAAGCUCUGUGCAUGUGUUGCACCAUCUCCCAUGAUCAUGCCUGAUCUCUACUUCUAUAGAGAUCCUGAAGAGAUUGAAAAGGAAGAGUAGGCUGCAGCUGAAAAAGGAGGAAUUUCAAAGUGAAUGGACUGCUGUAGUGCAAGUUUACUGCUACUCAAUCUGAGGUUGCAGACUGGUUUAAAGACAUGCAGGUGCCCUCUGUGCCUAUUCAGCAGUUCCCUACUGAAGAUUGGAGCACUUAGCCUACCAUGAAUGACUGGUCUGCAACUUCCACUGCUCAGACCACUGAAUGGGUAAGAAUAACCACUGAGUGGCCUUAAGCUGUUCUUCCACAAGCUCUUAAACAAGAUGGAAAUAACGCUGAUGGAAAUAAACAACAGUUUCCAAGAAAACACGAACAGCUGAAGUGGCAAUGUUUAAGUAACAUCUGGUAGACUUUAACAUGAAUGUUAUUAAGCAGGAAAUUAUGAUCUUUUAAGUUGGAACAUGUAAUGUUAAUCCUUUUGCACCAAAAUAUCUCUUUAAGUCUAAAUUAUCCACUUUUUUUUUUAAUUCUUCGUAGAGAUAGAGGUUUCGCUUUGUUGCCCAGGCUGUUCUUGACUUCCUAACUUCAAGCAAUCCUUCUGCCUCAGCCUCCCAGAGUGCUGGGAUUAUAGGCAUUUGCCACCGUGCCUGGUGUACCCAGUUUCUGUUAUCAACAGAAUGCAGUGGUGUAUGGUUGCUAAAGGGUCCCAAGAUCAGGACCUACGUUAAGGUGGAUUUUGAAUUAUUUAAAAUUCUGAUUUUGUUUUAUUUUUAAUUAAUCUUUGGGGGAAGGAUGGGAGGGGGGUGAGGGUUGAAGAAGUAAACAUUGUACCUAUUGGAUACAAUGUUUAAUAUUUGUGUGAUGGGCACACUGGAAGCCCAAACCUCACUAUUACACAAUACAUUCAUGUAACAAGCCUGCACAUGCACCUCCUGAAUCUAUUUUUAAAAAUUUAAUUCUCUAGCACAGACUCCCUUUUUUUGGUAAGAUGGCGGGGUACGACUUAACUACUCGCAUCACGCACCUUUUGGAUCGGCAUCUAGUCUUUCCGCUCCUUGAGUUUCUCUCUGUAAAGGAGAUAUAUAAAGAAAAGGAAUUAUUACAAGGUAAAUUGGACCUUCUUAGUGAUGCCAACAUGGUAGACUUUGCUAUGGAUGCAUACAAAAACCUUUAUUCUGAUGAUAUUCCUCAUGCUUUGAAAGAGAAUAGAACCACAGUUGUUGCACAACUGAAACAGCUUCAGGCAGAAACAGAACUAAUUGUGAAAAUGUUUGAAGAUCCAGAAACGACAAGGCAAAUGCGGUCAACCAGGGAUGGUAGGAUGCUCUUUGACUACCUGGCGGACAAGCAUGGUUUUAGGCAGGAGUAUUUAGAUACAUUCUACACAUAUGCAAAAUUCCAGUAUGAAUGUGGGAAUUACUCAGGAGCAGCAGAAUAUCUUUAUUUUUUCAGAGUGUUGGUUCCAGCAACAGACAGAAAUGCUGUAAGUUCACUCUGGGGAAAGCUGGCCUCUGAAAUCUUAAAGCAGAAUUGGGAUGCAGACAUGGAAGACCUUACAUGGUUAAAAGAGACCAUAGAUAAUAAUUCUGUGAGUUCUCCACUCCAGUCUCUUCAGCAGAGAGCAUGGCUCGUUCACUGGUCUCUGUUUUCUUCAAUCACCCCAAAGGUUGUGAUAAUAUUGUUGAUCUCUUCCUUUACCAGCCACAGCAUCUUAAUGUGUCCACACAUUCUUCACUAUUUGACUACAGCAGUCAUAGCAAACAAGGAUGUUCGAAAACGUUGGCAGGUGCUAAAAGAUCUAGGUAAAGUUACUCAACAGGAGUCUUACACAUAUAAAGACCCAAUUACAGAAUUUGUUGAAUGCUUAUAGAUUAACUUUGACUUAGAUGGGGCUAAGAAAAAGCUGAGAGAAUGUGAAUCAGUGCUUGUGAACGACUUCUUGGUGGCUUGUCUUAAGGAUUUCAUUGACAAUGCCCAUCUCUUCAUAUUUGAGACUUUCUGUCACAUCCACCAGUGUAUCAGCAUUAACAUGUUGGCAGACAAAUUGAACAUGACUCCAGAUGAAACUGAAAGGUGGAUUGUAAAUGUGAUUAGAAAUGCAAGACUGGAUGCCAAGAUUGAUUCUAAAUUAGGUCAUGUGGUUAUGGUAACAAUGUACUCUCACCCUAUCAGCAAGUGAUUGAAAAGACCAAAAGCCUUUCUUUUAGAAGCUAGAUUUUGGCCAUGAAUAUUGAGAAGAAACUUAAUGACAAUAGCAGGUCAGAGGCUCCUAACUGGGCAACUCAAGAUUCUGGCUUCUACUGAAGAAACAUAAGGAAAAGAUUUUAAAAAAACUCUAAAAGAAAGAUGAAAUAAUAAAACUAUUAUAUAAAGGGUGACUUACAUUUUGGAAACAACAUAUUGAGUGUAAAUUGUGAAGAAUUGGAAUAAAAUUGACUGAUUCAAAAAAAUUUAAUUCACAAAAAAAUUUUAAUCCUUUUAAGCUAAUUAUAGAUUCACAUGUAGUUGUAAGAAGUUACAAAGAGGCUAGGUGCAGUAGCUGACGCCCAUGAUCCCCGCACUUUGGGAGGCCGAGGCAGGCAGAUCUCUUGAGGCCAGGAGUUUGAGACUAGCCUGGCCAACAUGGCAAAACCCCAUCUCUACAAAAAAUUAGCAAAGCAUGGUGGCACAUGCCUGUAAUUACAGCUACUUGGGAGGCUGAGGCAUGAGAAUCACUUGACCUGGGAUUACAAGUGUAAUCCCAGCCAUAGGCUGGGUGCAGUGGCUCACACCUGUAAUCCCAGCACUUUGGGAGGCCAAGGUACGGGUGGAUCACCUGAGGUCAAGAGUUCAAGACCAGCCUGGCCAACAUGGUGAAACCCCGUCUCUACAAAAACACAAAAAUUAGCCGGGCAUGAUGGUGCGCACCUGUAAUCCCAGCUACUCAGGAGGCUGAGGCAGGAGAAUCGCAUGAACCCAGGAGGCAGAUGUUGCAGUGAGCCAAGAUCACGCCAUUGCACUCCAGCCUGGGCAACAGAGUGAGACUCCACCUCAAAAAAAAAAAAACAAAAAAAAACCACCAGCCAUUUGGGAAGCCAAGGCAGGAUUGCUUGAGACCAACCAGAAGUUCAAGGUUGCCUGGGCAACAGAGCAAGACUGUCUCGAGACAAAACAAAAAGUCAGCAUCUUCUGCCCACUUUUACUUUAACAUACAUUUAUGGAUCUAUUGUCUCUUUCCCUGUUCUAAAACUUUAAAUUUCACAAGAAUGAAGAUUUUGCUGUCUUGUUUCCUGCUGUGUCCCCAGCAUAAACAGCAUAAAGAAGUGCCAUAAGAUAGAAAUUUUUGUUUUCUGUUCACCAGUAUAUCCACAGCACCUAGAACAGCAUCUGCUUUAGACUUAUUAGAUGAAGACUUAAAAAAAAAAGGAACAGCACUUCUGCACAUAUUUAGCACUUGAUACAUAUUUGUGGAAUAAUUUCUAUCAUAACUAGCAGCUACUUCCUAAUUUGAUAUGUAGCAUCCCGUAUUAACAGGACUUUUGUGAAUGGAGAGGACAUCUAUUUAUUCUUUGUUAUGUGCCAAAUAUAUUUGUAUUAAUCAUAACUCUUAAUAUUCCUUUAAAAUUAAAUAAUUGUUUCCACAGCUCUUAAAAUAGAAUUUAGGAACCUAGCAACAUGCCACUCAUCCAUUAACAGUGAUAAAUUAUUUAAUUUUAUAAACUUUUCAUUAAAGUAACUGAUAUAGUUUGGA